rnacentral:rRNA from 1 species
UACGAAGGGAGCUAGCGUUGUUCGGAAUCACUGGGCGUAAAGCGUGCGUAGGCGGCUCAGAAAGUUGGGUGUGAAAGCCCUCGGCUCAACCGAGGAAUUGCGCUCAAAACUACUGAGCUUGAGUGAGAUAGGGGAGAGCGGAACUGAUGGUGGAGCGGUGGAAUGCGCAGAUAUCAGGAAGAACACCGGUGGCGAAGGCGGCUCUCUGGGCCUUACCUGACGCUGAGGAGCGAAAGCGUGGGUAGCGAACAGG